rnacentral:rRNA from 1 species
UACGUAGGGCGCAAGCGUUGUCCGGAAUUAUUGGGCGUAAAGAGCUCGUAGGCGGCUUGUCACGUCGGGUGUGAAAGCCCGGGGCUUAACCCCGGGUCUGCAUUCGAUACGGGCUAGUUAGAGUGUGGUAGGGGAGAUCGGAAUUCCUGGUGUAGCGGUGAAAUGCGCAGAUAUCAGGAGGAACACCGGUGGCGAAGGCGGAUCUCUGGGCCAUUACUGACGCUGAGGAGCGAAAGCGUGGGGAGCGAACAGG